CCUACGGGAGGCAGCAGUGAGGAAUAUUGGUCAAUGGGCGCGAGCCUGAACCAGCCAAGUCGCGUGAGGGAUGACGGUCCUACGGAUUGUAAACCUCUUUUGCCGGGGAGCAAGCGUGCGUUCGUGAACCCGCGUCGAGAGUACCCGGAGAAAAAGCAUCGGCUAACUCCGUGCCAGCAGCCGCGGUAAUACGGAGGAUGCGAGCGGUAUCCGGAUUGAUUGGGUUUAAAGGGUGCGUAGGCGGGAUGCAAAGUCAGCGGUAAAAAUGCGGGGCUCAACACCGUCGAGUCGUUGAAACUGGCGUUCUUGAGUGGGCGAGAAGUAUGCGGAAUGCGUGGUGUAGCGGUGAAAUGCAGAGAUAUCACGCAGAACUCCGAUUGCGAAGGCAGCAUACCGGCGCCCUACUGACGCUGAGGCACGAAAGCGUGGGGAUCGAACAGGAUUAGAUACCCGAGUAGUC
rnacentral:rRNA from 1 species